UCCUAAUCUUUUCUACUUUGACAUUAGAAAUACGACGGAGGGCCCAGUCACUGCCCUUAGCCCCCACUGCCUGGCCUUUACUGCCCGUCUCUAAGACUGGAGGUGAGGGCUUAAAAAGCGUGCGGACGCCUCCGACUCCCCCGAGUGCCCACAGUGCUGGGGACUUCCCAAGCUUCCGGCCUCCAGGCCAAAGACCUGAGUGCUGCUGGAGCUGGAAGGCACCCUCGCCCAGUCCAUCGACCCUCCCCUCUUUAUAGAUGAGAAAAGGAAGGCCCAGAGAGGAGCCGUGUCGGGCCUGAAGUCACACAUCCUGAACGUGGCUCUCUCAGGGCCCAGCCCCGAGCUCUCUCCUGGGUGCCUCAGCUCCAUCUGUACGAAUUCAGGCUAGAAGCGGGGUAGAGACCAUCUCUGGUGCGGGGGCUCCUCGCCUGGCGGGGAUCUGCCCAGUUGGUUUAUCUGUUUCAGUGGCUUUAUUUCAAGAGAAUCUUUGCCUUUGGAACCCUUCCUAGUUUACUGUAUGCAUUUAUUCAUGCCUUUAGAGUCAGCCCCCUCCCCAUCGCACCUCCCUUUGGUGACUGAGCCAGCCGGCCCUUUGGAUAGCAUGUUCUCAGCCCCACUGAAGUACCACCUGGCUAGGACAAGCCAUGGCCUCCAGGGCCCCUUUCUUAGUCUAAGAAUAUGAUUCUUACCUUUGAAGACUGAGGAGAAAGUCUUUGAUUUGGACUAGCCAGAAUUAAGGCAGUUUAAACCAGUCUGUAGGGUAGGAAUGAAACUGUUGGCUAAUGAGAACUUCCUCCUUCCUCCCUCCUUCUUUCCUUCCUCCCUCCCUUUCCUUUCUUCUUUCCUUCCUUCCUUCCUCUUCCCCUUCUUCCUUCUUCCCUUCCUUUCUUCCUCCCUCCCUUUCCUUUCCUCUUUCCCUCCUUCCUUCCUCUUUCCCUUCUUCCCUUCCUUUCUUCCCUCCCUCCCUUCCUUCCUCUCUCCCUCCCUUUCCUUUCCUCUUUUCCUCCCUCCUUCCUUCCUCUUUCCCUUCUUCCUCCCUCCCUUCCUUUCUUCCCACCUUCUUUGCUUCCUCUUUCCCUCCUUCCCUCCUUCCUUCCUCCUGUCCUUUCUCUCUGCCCUUCCUUUCCACCUAUCCAGGCUGUUGGCAGGUACGAUUCCAAAGACAAAGGGAACAGCACUUAGCAGGCACUAAGCACAGGGCUGGAAGCUGUGAUGGUCUGCAGCCUCCUUGUCCAGCCUGCUUGUUC
rnacentral:lncRNA from 1 species